AGCAGCCGCGGUAAUUCCAGCUCCAAUAGCGUAUAUUAAAGUUGUUGCAGUUAAAAAGCUCGUAGUUGAAUUUCGGGAUCAGUACGCUGGUCGUGCCUUCGGUAUGUACUGGUGUCACUGAUUCCUCCCUUCUGAAGAACCGUUAUGCCAUUUAUUUGGUGUGGCGGGGAAUCAGGACUGUUACUUUGAAAAAAUUAGAGUGUUUAAAGCAGGCUCGCGCUUGAAUACAUUAGCAUGGAAUAAUGAAAUAGGACGUUUGAUCUUAUUUUGUUGGUUUCUAGGAUCGACGUAAUGAUUAAUAGGGAUAGUUGGGGGCAUUAGUAUUCAAUUGUCAGAGGUGAAAUUCUUGGAUUUAUUGAAGACUAACUACUGCGAAAGCAUUUGCCAAGGAUGUUUUCAUUAAUCAAGAACGAAAGUUAGGGGAUCGAAGACGAUCAGAUACCGUCGUAGUCUUAACCAUAAACUAUGCCGACUAGGGAUCGGAUGAUGUUAUUUUUAAUGACUCA
rnacentral:rRNA from 1 species